CCAGUGCAGACUACAUUUCCCAGCAUCUCUAGAAGCUAAAUAAGUUCCUGUGCUAAAAUUCCGGGAGAUGGAAGAUGAGUGAAAUUGAUAUCUUUCAUUUCUGGGUCAUCUCCUUAAAUACUUGCUCUGUACUCUCCCCUGUCCCUUAUUCUGUGGGCUAUCGCACAGAUGUGGUAGAGACCCAGAUUCGGUAACGCUGAAGAACAUGACAUCAGUGAAUGGUAAUGCAGCAGAAAGGAAGGAACUUGCGUCCUUUAAUGACCUAGAGGAGUCAAUCUACUUCACCACCUGGAUCGGCGGGACUGUAAUGUGAGAAACACAUUUCUAUCUAUAAAAAAAAAUGGCUUCACUUGUGAAAAUUGCCUGCAGGACUUAGGGGACAAACAGAUUUUUGAAGACAAAAGUCUGAUGUGUCAAGCUGAACUCUCUGAAUAUUCAUUAUCAUUCCAAGGGCUUUCCAUUGCUCCUCACUUGAUAACGGGAGAAGCCAAGAUGGCAGAACAGCAUGGAAGCUGUUUGUGUGUCUCGCGUCCAUG